rnacentral:rRNA from 1 species
AAUAUUGGACAAUGGGCGAAAGCCUGAUCCAGCCAUGCCGCGUGUGUGAAGAAGGUCUUCGGAUUGUAAAGCACUUUAAGUUGGGAGGAAGGGCAGCAAGUUAAUACCUUGCUGUUUUGACGUUACCGACAGAAUAAGCACCGACUAACACUGAGCCAUCAGCCCCGGUAAUAAGAAGGGUGCAAGCGUUAAUUGGAAUUCUUGGGCGUAAGGCGCGCGUAGGUGGUUUGUUAAGUUGGAAGUGAAAGCCCCGGGCUCAACCUGGGAACUGCUUUCAAAACUGGCAAGCUAGGGUAUGGCAGAGGGUGGUGGAAUUUCCUGUGUAGCGGUGAAAUGCGUAGAUAUAGGAAGGAACACCAGUGGCGAAGGCGACUACCUGGACUGAUACUGACACUGAGGUGCGAAAGCGUGGGGAGCAAAC